rnacentral:rRNA from 1 species
CCUACGGGUGGCAGCAGUCGAGAAUCAUUCACAAUGGGGGAAACCCUGAUGGUGCGACGCCGCGUGGGGGAAUGAAGGUCUUCGGAUUGUAAACCCCUGUCAUGUGGGAGCAAAUUAAAAAGAUAGUACCACAAGAGGAAGAGACGGCUAACUCUGUGCCAGCAGCCGCGGUAAUACAGAGGUCUCAAGCGUUGUUCGGAAUCACUGGGCGUAAAGCGUGCGUAGGCUGUUUCGUAAGUCGUGUGUGAAAGGCGCGGGCUCAACCCGCGGACGGCACAUGAUACUGCGGGACUAGAGUAAGGGAGAGGGAACCGGAAUUCUCGGUGUAGCAGUGAAAUGCGUAGAUAUCGAGAGGAACACUCGUGGCGAAGGCGGGGUCCUGGACAUUAACUGACGCUGAGGCACGAAGGCCAGGGGAGCGAAAGGGAUUAGAUACCCGGGUAGUC